rnacentral:rRNA from 1 species
GAUGAACGCUAGCUACAGGCUUAACACAUGCAAGUCGCGGGGCAGCAUGGGGGUUGCUUGCAAUCCCCGAUGGCGACCGGCGCACGGGUGAGUAACGCGUAUCCGACCUGCCCUUCGCCACGGGAUAACCCGGCGAAAGUCGGACUAAUACCGUAUGUUGUCCAUUGACGGCAUCCGAUUUGGACGAAAGGCUUGGCGGUGAGGGAUGGGGAUGCGUCCGAUUAGCCAGGCGGCGGGGUAACGGCCCACCGUGGCUACGAUCGGUAGGGGUUCUGAGAGGAAGGUCCCCCACACUGGAACUGAGACACGGUCCAGACUCCUACGGGAGGCAGCAGUGAGGAAUAUUGGUCAAUGGGCGUAAGCCUGAACCAGCCAAGUAGCGUGCAGGAUGACGGCCCUAUGGGUUGUAAACUGCUUUUAUGCGGGGAUAAAGUGGCCCACGUGUGGGCUUUUGCAGGUACCGCAUGAAUAAGGACCGGCUAAUUCCGUG